UAGGGAAUAUUGGACAAUGGGUGAGAGCCUGAUCCAGCCAUGCCGCGUGCAGGAAGAAGGCGUUGUGCGUUGUAAACUGCUUUUGCCAGGGGAUAAAAAGACCGUGCGCGGUUAAUUGAAGGUACCUGGUGAAUAAGCCACGGCUAACUACGUGCCAGCAGCCGCGGUAAUACGUAGGUGGCAAGCGUUGUCCGGAUUUAUUGGGUUUAAAGGGUGCGUAGGUGGCCCUGUAAGUCAGUGGUGAAAUAUCUCAGCUUAACUGAGAGGGUGCCAUUGAUACUGCAGGGCUUGAGUACAGAUGAGGUAGGCGGAAUUGACGGUGUAGCGGUGAAAUGCAUAGAUAUCGUCAAGAACACCGAUAGCGAAGGCAGCUUACCAAGCUGUAACUGACACUGAGGCACGAAAGUGUGGGGAUCAAACAGGAUUAGAUACCCUGGUAGUCCACACUGUAAACGUUGAUGACUCGAUGUUGGCGAUACACAGCCAGCGUCCAAGAGCAAUCGUUAAGUCAUCCACCUGGGGAGUACGCCGGCAACGGUG
rnacentral:rRNA from 1 species